AAAUACCUUGCCUAAUGGGGCUAUGGAAAUUACUUGUGAUUUUAGUCUAGCAAAAACAGAGAUUAGAAGGAAGCCUUGAAAUGUGCUCUGGCAGAAUUUUCUCAUUGGUCUACAUCAAGACAACCCAGCAGAUUGCACAGCCUGGUGCCUGGCCUGGACCAUCCUCUCCACAGAAGUAUGCGGUGAGGACAAGCCAUGGUUAGAUGAAGCUGUGAGAGAUGUGGUACAUUCCUACUGAGGCUGUAGUAGGACCUCAGCAAGCACAUUGUAGGACUGAAAUCUGGGGAGGAGAGGAGAAGGUGAGUGCUAGCUCUAUUUGCAAGCAGACCUCUGCAGACUGCUGAAGCACCAGGCAGAAAUUUUUAAGAAGCUAGUGCUUUUCUAGAGAAUGUCAACUGCUGCUGUCUGGUAUUAACUAAUGCUAGCAGAUGUUAACUUGUGGGAGGCAUGAAGAGGAGAGAGAGAGUAGCCUGCUCUCUAAGGGAGCUCUCAUGCAGCAUGAGAGUUCUCAAAGUGAAAGCCCUGAAAUUCCUGGCAUUGCACACCUGCAGGUCCACAUGAGAUGUCUUUGUUAAAGACAGAAUACGAUUUUUUUAAUUAUUUUUUGUAUUUUUCCUUUCUUUGGUGUUCUUUGGAGUUUCCAGUUAAUUUUAAAGAGCAACCACUUAUUUUGGAGUUGAAUUCCUUUAUUUCAGAUUACAAGAAAUAUCUGAAACAUGGUAGGACAAAAAUAAGCUUGCUUGAAAAGAGUAUUUGCUCUAUCAGGUGCUGCCUUUCUCUUUUUCAGCUACAUGCUAUCAUGUCAGCAGCCCCUGAAGAGAGAUCUACUAGAUUUGUUUUCAAGCUGCCUGGAACAAUCUGAGACAGGACAACCCGCAUCUCUCUAUUCUUGGAAAUGAAGCUAAAUUUACCUAACUGAUGCUGUGGAUUAACUGGAAUCAUGGGGGAGACCUCAACCUGUCUAAGCAGUAAAUAGUCUGAAAUACUUUCUGUGUCAUGACUGAUGAUUGCUGUCAGGUCAAGUUGAUGAAGUAUCUCACUUAGACACUUAGGGGUGAGAUCUAUUGUUCAGGCUGGGCUUCAUUGGGAACAAACUCCUAGUGUUUAGCACAUAACCAGAAAUCCCUGGUGAGAACAGAGUCACAGCUGGUUGCUCAGGUGAUUGCUAGAUUGCUGGCUAUUAUCUUAGUGCUAUUGAGUUUGUGAAGGUAGUCAUCUCUCACAUGACACAGAAGCCACAGAAAUGGAGGAAGAAGGUAGGACAGGAGAGGGUUGGGAAAGAAGGGGAAAGGAAGCGAAAUGGAGCAAUCCCCUUCUGAGAAGAACAUGAGAUACUUUGUGCAGCUAGCAUUGCUAAUCUGACAAAAAGCAUUUAAACAAAUUUGAACUUUCUGUGAAAUCAGUAUAAAAUAGCAGUGCUUAGAAUAGCACACCAUUAUUAAUUCUGAAAUUGUUUCAAAGUCCCCCUUUCCCUCCCACUCCACACAUUACAUAGACACAGCUACUGUUAUUUUUAUGCUUAACUGCCAGUAUAUCUGAAAAUGAACAAUGCAGUAUGCUUAUACAAGAGAACUGGGAAAAAAUACAUACAUUAUUGAAUUGUGCCAUCAGCUACACAGAUCUAUAGCAUGUAUUGGGAAGGUAGUUUGUUAACUCUGGGCUGAAACAGGCUGAACUGUAGGUAACAGUAGCCCUUCAGCUUGUUCAGUAUUUGAAAGUGUAGAUAUCAAAAAAUAAUAAUAAUAAAAAAAAUCUACUGCCUUUCUUGCA
rnacentral:lncRNA from 1 species